rnacentral:rRNA from 1 species
UGGGGGACGAUUUAGCAUGCUAGUCGCACGAGUUCAGACUCGUGGCGAAUAGCUCAGUAACACGUGGCCAAACUACCCUUCGGAACACAAUACCCUCGGGAAACUGAGGCUAAUAGUGUAUAUCGUACCACCACUGGAAAAUUGGAGUGUGUUACGCCAAACGCUCCGGCGCCGAAGGAUGUGGCUGCGGCCGAUUAGGUAGACGGUGGGGUAAACGGCCCACCGUGCCAAUAAUCGGUAUGGGUCAUGAGGAGUGAGAACCCAGAAGACGGAAUCUGAGACAAGAUUCCGGGCCCUACGGGGCGCAGCAGGCGGCGAAACCUUUACACUGCACGACAGUGCGAUAGGGGGAUCCCAAGUGCACAGGCAUAGCGCCUGUGCUUUUCGGCACCCUAAGGCGGUGCCAGAAUAAGGGCUGGGCAAGACCGGUGCCAGCCGCCGCGGUAAUACCGGCAGCCCAAGUGAUGGCCGAUCUUAUUGGGCCUAAAGCGUCCGUAGCUGGCCGCGCAAGUCCAUCGGGAAAUCCACCUGCUCAACAGGUGGGCGCCCGGUAGAAACUGCGUGGCUUGGGACCGGAAGGCGCGACGGGUACGUCCGGGGUAGGAGUGAAAUCCCGUAAUCCUGGACGGACCGCCGAUGGCGAAAGCACGUCGCGAGAACGGAUCCGACAGUGAGGGACGAAAGCCAGGGUCUCGAACCGGAUUAGAUACCCGGGUAGUCCUGGCCGUAAACAAUGUCUGCUAGGUGUGGCUCCCACUACGAGUGGGUGCUGUGCCGUAGGGAAGCCGCUAAGCAGACCGCCUGGGAAGUACGUCCGCAAGGAUGAAACUUAAAGGAAUUGGCGGGGGAGCACUACAACCGGAGGAGCCUGCGGUUUAAUUGGACUCAACGCCGGACAUCUCACCAGCAUCGACUGUAGUAAUGACGAUCAGGUUGAUGACCUUAUCCGAGCUUCAGAGAGGAGGUGCAUGGCCGCCGUCAGCUCGUACCGUGAGGCGUCCUGUUAAGUCAGGCAACGAGCGAGACCCGCACCCUUACUUGCCAGCAGUACCGCGAGGUAGCUGGGGACAGUAGGGGGACCGCCGUGGCUAACACGGAGGAAGGAACGGGCAACGGUAGGUCAGUAUGCCCCGAAUGUGCUGGGCAACACGCGGGCUACAAUGGUCGAGACAAAGGGUUCCUACUCCGAAAGGAGACGGUAAUCUCAGAAACUCGAUCGUAGUUCGGAUUGUGGGCUGCAACUCGCCCACAUGAAGCUGGAUUCGGUAGUAAUCGCGUGUCACAAGCGCGCGGUGAAUACGUCCCUGCUCCUUGCACACACCGCCCGUCAAAGCACCCGAGUGAGGUCCGGAUGAGGCGUUCCACGAACGUCGAAUCUGGGCUUCGCAAGGGGGCUAAGUCGAAUCAAG